AUGGGUGAUUAGGUUGGCCGACCAAAGUCGGACCUGAUCAUUUAUUGAUUAAAUGGACUAAGCAUGGUCAUGUUAAUGGUUGGACCUAACCAGAACUUUUAAUGGAGGUCCUAGCCUACCAAAAUAAAAUCUGAGGUAAAAUAAGUUACUAAAAGUUAUUUGAAGAAAUAAUUGAUUAAGAACCUACCCAUAGAUAUACAUAAGUUGGCCGAU
rnacentral:lncRNA from 1 species